GGGACACGUGGUAUCCUGUCUGAAUAUGGGGGGACCAUCCUCCAAGGCUAAAUACUCCUGACUGACCGAUAGUGAACCAGUACCGUGAGGGAAAGGCGAAAAGAACCCCGGCGAGGGGAGUGAAAAAGAACCUGAAACCGUGUACGUACAAGCAGUGGGAGCCUCUUAAUGGGGUGACUGCGUACCUUUUGUAUAAUGGGUCAGCGACUUAUAUUCUGUAGCAAGGUUAACCGAAUAGGGGAGCCGAAGGGAAACCGAGUCUUAACUGGGCGUUAAGUUGCAGGGUAUAGACCCGAAACCCGGUGAUCUAGCCAUGGGCAGGUUGAAGGUUGGGUAACACUAACUGGAGGACCGAACCGACUAAUGUUGAAAAAUUAGCGGAUGACUUGUGGCUGGGGGUGAAAGGCCAAUCAAACCGGGAGAUAGCUGGUUCUCCCCGAAAGCUAUUUAGGUAGCGCCUCGUGAAUUCAUCUCCGGGGGUAGAGCACUGUUUCGGCAAGGGGGUCAUCCCGACUUACCAACCCGAUGCAAACUGCGAAUACCGGAGAAUGUUAUCACGGGAGACACACGGCGGGUGCUAACGUCCGUCGUGAAGAGGGAAACAACCCAGACCGCCAGCUAAGGUCCCAAAGUCAUGGUUAAGUGGGAAACGAUGUGGGAAGGCCCAGACAGCCAGGAUGUUGGCUUAGAAGCAGCCAUCAUUUAAAGAAAGCGUAAUAGCUCACUGGUCGAGUCGGCCUGCGCGGAAGAUGUAACGGGGCUAAACCAUGCACCGAAGCUGCGGCAGCGACACUAUGUGUUGUUGGGUAGGGGAGCGUUCUGUAAGCCUGUGAAGGUGUACUGUGAGGUAUGCUGGAGGUAUCAGAAGUGCGAAUGCUGACAUAAGUAACGAUAAAGCGGGUGAAAAGCCCGCUCGCCGGAAGACCAAGGGUUCCUGUCCAACGUUAAUCGGGGCAGGGUGAGUCGACCCCUAAGGCGAGGCCGAAAGGCGUAGUCGAUGGGAAACAGGUUAAUAUUCCUGUACUUGGUGUUACUGCGAAGGGGGGACGGAGAAGGCUAUGUUGGCCGGGCGACGGUUGUCCCGGUUUAAGCGUGUAGGCUGGUUUUCCAGGCAAAUCCGGAAAAUCAAGGCUGAGGCGUGAUGACGAGGCACUACGGUGCUGAAGCGACAAAUGCCCUGCUUCCAGGAAAAGCCUCUAAGCAUCAGGUAACAUCAAAUCGUACCCCAAACCGACACAGGUGGUCAGGUAGAGAAUACCAAGGCGCUUGAGAGAACUCGGGUGAAGGAACUAGGCAAAAUGGUGCCGUAACUUCGGGAGAAGGCACGCUGAUAUGUAGGUGAAGCGACUUGCUCGUGGAGCUGAAAUCAGUCGAAGAUACCAGCUGGCUGCAACUGUUUAUUAAAAACACAGCACUGUGCAAACACGAAAGUGGACGUAUACGGUGUGACGCCUGCCCGGUGCCGGAAGGUUAAUUGAUGGGGUUAGCGGUAACGCGAAGCUCUUGAUCGAAGCCCCGGUAAACGGCGGCCGUAACUAUAACGGUCCUAAGGUAGCGAAAUUCCUUGUCGGGUAAGUUCCGACCUGCACGAAUGGCGUAAUGAUGGCCAGGCUGUCUCCACCCGAGACUCAGUGAAAUUGAACUCGCUGUGAAGAUGCAGUGUACCCGCGGCAAGACGGAAAGACCCCGUGAACCUUUACUAUAGCUUGACACUGAACAUUGAGCCUUGAUGUGUAGGAUAGGUGGGAGGCUUUGAAGUGUGGACGCCAGUCUGCAUGGAGCCGACCUUGAAAUACCACCCUUUAAUGUUUGAUGUUCUAACGUGGGCCCCUUACCGGGGUUGCGGACAGUGUCUGGUGGGUAGUUUGACUGGGGCGGUCUCCUCCUAAAGAGUAACGGAGGAGCACGAAGGUUGGCUAAUCCUGGUCGGACAUCAGGAGGUUAGUGCAAUGGCAUAAGCCAGCUUGACUGCGAGCGUGACGGCGCGAGCAGGUGCGAAAGCAGGUCAUAGUGAUCCGGUGGUUCUGAAUGGAAGGGCCAUCGCUCAACGGAUAAAAGGUACUCCGGGGAUAACAGGCUGAUACCGCCCAAGAGUUCAUAUCGACGGCGGUGUUUGGCACCUCGAUGUCGGCUCAUCACAUCCUGGGGCUGAAGUAGGUCCCAAGGGUAUGGCUGUUCGCCAUUUAAAGUGGUACGCGAGCUGGGUUUAGAACGUCGUGAGACAGUUCGGUCCCUAUCUGCCGUGGGCGCUGGAGAACUGAGGGGGGCUGCUCCUAGUACGAGAGGACCGGAGUGGACGCAUCACUGGUGUUCGGGUUGUCAUGCCAAUGGCACUGCCCGGUAGCUAAAUGCGGAAGAGAUAAGUGCUGAAAGCAUCUAAGCACGAAACUUGCCCCGAGAUGAGUUCUCCCUGACUCCUUGAGAGUCCUGAAGGAACGUUGAAGACGACGACGUUGAUAGGCCG
rnacentral:rRNA from 1 species